rnacentral:lncRNA from 1 species
GAUGGGGGUGGUGGUUCAGCUGGAGUUUUGGUGUGGUGGUGGUGUGGUUCACGGUUGUGUUGUUGUUCACGGAUUUUGAGGUGGUUGCUGAGUUUGAAUGUUGAUGGGGUGGUGGUUCAUUUGGAGUUUUAUGUGGUGGUGGUGAUGAAAUGGUGGAUUGCAGGUGGUGAGAGAGGGUGCCGUCAGCGGGAACAACAGAGAUGGUGGUGCAAGGUGGUUGUUGGUAUGGCUGGUGAUGAUGUGAUGUCUCGUUGGUGAUGAUGUGGUGAUUAUGUUGUGGUGUAGUCACGUUGGUUUUGUGUGGUUGUUUGGUGUGGUACUGUUAGCAGUGGAGCGAGAUGGUUGUGUAGGUUUGUGUAGUGGUGUGUGAUGGUUUGUAGCGUUCGGAUGGGGUGAUUGUGGAUAAUUUGGACUCCGAUUUGGCAUUGAUACGAUUGAUAGACAAGAGCUGAUUAAGUGGGGGUGGUUGAUGUUGUUUAGGUAGGGAGGUGGAUGUUUUUUUGGUGGAUGGUAGUGUACUCUUGGUGUUUCUGUUGUAGGCUGCCUUUGUCUUGGGUCUGUAUCCAUCGUCGCUAGCUCUUGGUGCCUUUUGGUUGUUUUGUGUAUGGGUGCUUGAGUCUGGGUGGUUUUGAGUUGAGCCUUUUCCUUUUCUGAUGUUGGCUAGUCUUCGUGUCUUCUCCGGUUGAUCGGGGGUGAGGGGUGCCUUACUGAUUUGUUUUCAGAGUCUGGUAGGCCGGUCGCUUUUGAUUCGAGAUCGGGAGUCAGUGCUUUGAUUCAAGUCUCCUUUGGGCUAAAUUUGGUGUUUUUUCUUCGGUGGAUCAGGAGUAGAGAGGUGGAGGCCGACUAAGCGUUGGAAUAGGACAUUUUUGGAUGUGGCUCAACUAAGGUGAUGAUAAGGUGUUGGUUGAUUUAGAGGGGUGUUUUUUGGGGUGAGUAGCGAGCGAAGGGGGGUGUAUGGAUUUCGUGUUCAAUGGCUGUUUAUGAUGGAGUUUGAUUUAGGUGGUGAAGUUGGUUUUGGUGAUUGUUGUUCUUUUGGGUGUUGAAAGUAGAUCUUGGUUAGGUGAUGAUUGUUUUGUGUAUUUUAUGGUGUUUAAUUUGGAUGUUCCGCCUAUAUACGACGUCUUUAUCAUGUAACCUCUGAUACUGGUCUUUGUUCGUCUUGAACAGGGAUCAAGUUUUUAA